rnacentral:sRNA from 1 species
GUCUCACUCCGUUGCCCAGGCUGGAGUGCAGUUGCAGUGAGCCAAGAUCACACCACUGUACUCCAGCCUGGGCAACAGAGCCAGACUCCAUCUGAAAACAAACAAAAAACCAAAAUGCAACAAAAUUGGAAAUAUAGAUAAUUAUUAGAUAGAAGCCAUUUAAAGUCCGUACCUAACUUCUUGUGUGGGAAACUUAAUUUUUAUUAUGUUUUCUGUAGACUAAAAAAAGUGGUAAACCUGGGCCAUUCUUGCUGUCUGGAUCCAGAGACAAGACUAUUAAGAUGUGGGAUGUCAGUACUGGCAUGUGCCUUAUGACCCUCGUGGGUCAUGAUAACUGGGUACGUGGAGUUCUGUUCCAUUCUGGGGGGAAGUUUAUUUUGAGUUGUGCUGAUGACAAGACCCUACGUGUAUGGGAUUACAAGAACAAGCGAUGCAUGAAGACCCUCAAUGCGCAUGAACACUUUGUUACCUCCUUGGAUUUCCACAAGACGGCACCCUAUGUCGUCACUGGCAGCGUAGAUCAAACAGUAAAAGUGUGGGAGUGCCGUUGAUUGCGUCUCCUUCAGCCCCUCCUCCCUCUUUUCCUCUGGAUGCACUCUGAUGAUACCAUGGUUACCCCAUUGAGCUCUGUUUAAAUAAAUAUUGUCCUUUCAUGUAAA